UACAGAGGGGCCAAGCGUUGUCCGGAUUGACUGGGCGUAAAGCGCACGCAGGCGGUUGCGCGCGUGGGGUGUGAAAUCUGGCCGCUUAACGGCCAGGCGCCAUCCCAUACGGCGCGACUGGAGUGAUGCAGAGGUCGAUGGAAUUCCUGGUGUAGCGGUGAAAUGCGCAGAUAUCAGGAAGAACACCCGUGGCGAAGGCGGUCA
rnacentral:rRNA from 1 species